AGAAUCAACGCUGGCGGCGUGCCUAACACAUGCAAGUCGCACGAGAAAGGGGACUUCGGUCCCUGAGUACAGUGGCGCACGGGUGAGUAACACGUGAAUCAUCUACCUUCGAGUGGGGAAUAAACUGAGAGAAAUCUUAGCUAAUACCGCAUAAUACCUACGGGUCAAAGCAGCAAUGCGCUUGAAGAGGAGUUCGCGGCAGAUUAGUUAGUUGGCGGGUAAUGGCCCACCAAGACGAUGAUCUGUA
rnacentral:rRNA from 1 species